rnacentral:rRNA from 1 species
CGAUACGACCGUACCGCAAACCGACACUGGUGCGCGAGAUGAGUAUUCUAAGGCGCUUGAGAGAACUCAGGAGAAGGAGCUCGGCAAAUUGACACCGUAACUUCGGAAGAAGGUGUGCCCUAUUAGUGUGUAGUGAACAACGAAGCAUGAAUGGGUUGCAAAAAAUCGGUGGCUGCGACUGUUUAUUAAAAACACAGCACUCUGCAAACACGAAAGUGGACGUAUAGGGUGUGACGCCUGCCCGGUGCUGGAAGAUUAAAUGAUGGGGUGCAAGCUCUUGAUUGAAGUCCCAGUAAACGGCGGCCGUAACAAUAACGGUCCUAAGGUAGCGAAAUUCCUUGUCGGGUAAGUUCCGACCUGCACGAAUGGCGUAACGAUGGCCACACUGUCUCCACCUGAGACUCAGCGAAGUUGAAAUGUUUGUGAUGAUGCAAUCUCCCCGCGGAAAGACGGAAAGACCCCAUGAACCUUUACUGUAGCUUUGCAUUGGACUUUGAACAGAUCUGUGUAGGAUAGGUGGGAGGCUUUGAAGCAGGGUCGCUAGAUCUUGUGGAGCCAACGUUGAAAUACCACCCUGGUGUGUUUGAGGUUCUAACCUAGGUCCAUUACCUGGAUCGGGGACAGUGCAUGGUAGGCAGUUUGACUGGGGCGGUCUCCUCCCAAAGCGUAACGGAGGAGUUCGAAGGUACGCUAGUUACGGUCGGACAUCGUGACGAUAGUGCAAUGGCAUAAGCGUGCUUAACUGCGAGACUGACAAGUCGAGCAGAUGCGAAAGCAGGACAUAGUGAUCCGGUGGUUCUGUAUGGUAGGGCCAUCGCUCAACGGAUAAAAGGUACUCUGGGGAUAACAGGCUGAUACCGCCCAAGAGUUCAUAUCGACGGCGGUGUUUGGCACCUCGAUGUCGGCUCAUCUCAUCCUGGGGCUGUAGCCGGUCCCAAGGGUAUGGCUGUUCGCCAUUUAAAGAGGUACGUGAGCUGGGUUUAAAACGUCGUGAGACAGUUUGGUCCCUAUCUUCCGUGGGCGCUGCAGAUUUGAGGAAGCCUGCUCCUAGUACGAGAGGACCGGAGUGGACACACCUCUGGUGUAUCGGUUGUCACGCCAGUGGCAUUGCCGAGUAGCUAAGUGUGGAAGAGAUAACCGCUGAAAGCAUCUAAGCGGGAAACUCGUUUCAAGAUGAGAUCUGCCGGGGCCUUGAGCCCCCUAAAGAGUCGUUCAAGACCAGGACGUUGAUAGGUCAGGUGUGGAAGC